rnacentral:rRNA from 1 species
GUUGUAUGGUUAAGUGACUAAGCGUACACGGUGGAUGCCUGGGCAGUCAGAGGCGAUGAAGGACGUACUAACUUGCGAUAAGCGCAGAUAAGGCAGUAAGAGCCGUUUGAGUCUGCGAUUUCCGAAUGGGGAAACCCAACUGCAUAAGCAGUUACUGUUAACUGAAUACAUAGGUUAACAGAGCAAACCGGGGGAACUGAAACAUCUAAGUACCCCGAGGAGAAGAAAUCAACCGAGAUUCCGGUAGUAGCGGCGAGCGAACCUGGAUUAGCCCUUAAGCACUCGGUGAAGUAGGUGAACAAGCUGGAAAGCUUGGCGAUACAGGGUGAUAGCCCCGUAACCGACGCUUCAUCGAGCGUGAAAUCGAGUAGGGCGGGACACGUGAUAUCCUGUCUGAAUAUGGGGGGACCAUCCUCCAAGGCUAAAUACUCCUGACUGACCGAUAGUGAACCAGUACCGUGAGGGAAAGGCGAAAAGAACCCCUGUGAGGGGAGUGAAAUAGAACCUGAAACCGUGUACGUACAAGCAGUAGGAGCACCUUCGUGGUGUGACUGCGUACCUUUUGUAUAAUGGGUCAGCGACUUAUAUUCAGUGGCAAGGUUAACCGUAUAGGGGAGCCGUAGCGAAAGCGAGUCUUAACUGGGCGCUCAGUCUCUGGAUAUAGACCCGAAACCGGGUGAUCUAGCCAUGGGCAGGUUGAAGGUUGAGUAACAUCAACUGGAGGACCGAACCGACUAAUGUUGAAAAAUUAGCGGAUGACUUGUGGCUAGGGGUGAAAGGCCAAUCAAACUCGGAGAUAGCUGGUUCUCCCCGAAAGCUAUUUAGGUAGCGCCUCGGACGAAUACUACUGGGGGUAGAGCACUGUUAAGGCUAGGGGGUCAUCCCGACUUACCAACCCUUUGCAAACUCCGAAUACCAGUAAGUACUAUCCGGGAGACACACGGCGGGUGCUAACGUCCGUCGUGGAGAGGGAAACAACCCAGACCGCCAGCUAAGGUCCCAAAGUAUUGCUAAGUGGGAAACGAUGUGGGAAGGCUCAGACAGCUAGGAUGUUGGCUUAGAAGCAGCCAUCAUUUAAAGAAAGCGUAAUAGCUCACUAGUCGAGUCGGCCUGCGCGGAAGAUGUAACGGGGCUAAGCAAUACACCGAAGCUGCGGCAAUGUCUUUUAGACAUUGGGUAGGGGAGCGUUCUGUAAGCCGUUGAAGGUGAAUCGUAAGGUUUGCUGGAGGUAUCAGAAGUGCGAAUGCUGACAUGAGUAACGACAAAGGGGGUGAAAAACCUCCUCGCCGGAAGACCAAGGGUUCCUGUCCAACGUUAAUCGGGGCAGGGUGAGUCGACCCCUAAGGUGAGGCCGAAAGGCGUAAUCGAUGGGAAACGGGUUAAUAUUCCCGUACUUCUGACUAUUGCGAUGGGGGGACGGAGAAGGCUAGGUGGGCCAGGCGACGGUUGUCCUGGUUCAAGUGCGUAGGCUUGAGAGUUAGGUAAAUCCGGCUCUCUCUAAGGCUGAGACACGACGUCGAGCUACUACGGUAGUGAAGUCAUUGAUGCCAUGCUUCCAGGAAAAGCCUCUAAGCUUCAGAUAGUCAGGAAUCGUACCCCAAACCGACACAGGUGGUCGGGUAGAGAAUACCAAGGCGCUUGAGAGAACUCGGGUGAAGGAACUAGGCAAAAUGGUACCGUAACUUCGGGAGAAGGUACGCUCUUGAUGGUGAAGUCCCUCGCGGAUGGAGCUGACGAGAGUCGCAGAUACCAGGUGGCUGCAACUGUUUAUUAAAACACAGCACUGUGCAAAAUCGCAAGAUGACGUAUACGGUGUGACGCCUGCCCGGUGCCGGAAGGUUAAUUGAUGGGGUUAGCGCAAGCGAAGCUCUUGAUCGAAGCCCCGGUAAACGGCGGCCGUAACUAUAACGGUCCUAAGGUAGCGAAAUUCCUUGUCGGGUAAGUUCCGACCUGCACGAAUGGCGUAAUGAUGGCCACGCUGUCUCCACCCGAGACUCAGUGAAAUUGAAAUCGCUGUGAAGAUGCAGUGUACCCGCGGCUAGACGGAAAGACCCCGUGAACCUUUACUACAGCUUGGCACUGAACAUUGAACCUACAUGUGUAGGAUAGGUGGGAGGCUAUGAAGACGUGACGCCAGUUGCGUUGGAGCCGUCCUUGAAAUACCACCCUUGUAUGUUUGAUGUUCUAACUUAGACCCAUUAUCCGGGUUGAGGACAGUGCCUGGUGGGUAGUUUGACUGGGGCGGUCUCCUCCCAAAGAGUAACGGAGGAGCACGAAGGUGGGCUAAUCACGGUUGGACAUCGUGAGGUUAGUGCAAUGGCAUAAGCCCGCUUAACUGCGAGAAUGACGGUUCGAGCAGGUGCGAAAGCAGGUCAUAGUGAUCCGGUGGUUCUGUAUGGAAGGGCCAUCGCUCAACGGAUAAAAGGUACUCCGGGGAUAACAGGCUGAUACCGCCCAAGAGUUCAUAUCGACGGCGGUGUUUGGCACCUCGAUGUCGGCUCAUCACAUCCUGGGGCUGAAGUCGGUCCCAAGGGUAUGGCUGUUCGCCAUUUAAAGUGGUACGCGAGCUGGGUUUAGAACGUCGUGAGACAGUUCGGUCCCUAUCUGCCGUGGGCGUUGGAAGAUUGAAGGGGGCUGCUCCUAGUACGAGAGGACCGGAGUGGACGAACCUCUGGUGUUCGGGUUGUGUCGCCAGACGCAUUGCCCGGUAGCUAAGUUCGGAAUUGAUAAGCGCUGAAAGCAUCUAAGCGCGAAGCGAGCCCUGAGAUGAGUCUUCCCUGACAGUUUAACUGUCCUAAAGGGUUGUUCGAGACUAGAACGUUGAUAGGCAGGGUGUGUAAGCGUUGUGAGGCGUUGAGCUAACCUGUACUAAUUGCCCGUGAGGCUUAACCAUACAACACCCAAGGGGUUUUGUA